GUGGGGAAUAUUGCGCAAUGGCCGAAAGGUUGACGCAGCGACGCCGCGUGUGGGAGGACGCCCUUCGGGGUGUAAACCACUGUCAGGGGGGAAGAACUUCGCAGGUGUGAAUAGCGCUUGCGGUUGACGGUACCCCCAGAGGAAGCGCCGGCUAACUCCGUGCCAGCAGCCGCGGUAAGACGGAGGGCGCAAGCGUUGUUCGGAAUUACUGGGCGUAAAGGGCAGGUAGGUGGUCUGUUAAGUCUUCUGUGAAAAUCCGGGGCUCAACCCCGCGAAAUGCAGGUGAAACUGGCAGACUUGAGACCGGUAGAGGCUAGCGGAAUUCCUGGUGUAGCGGUGGAAUGCGUAGAUAUCAGGAAGAACACCUGUGGCGAAGGCGGCUAGCUGGGCCGGUUCUGACACUAAACUGCGAAAGCGUGGGGAGCAAACAGG
rnacentral:rRNA from 1 species